GACUUUCCUGGGCAGGGCUUCCACUGUGCCCGGCUUUUCCUGCAGCCUCAGGCACAUUUUAGGAAGGGUAGCCAGGAGUAACGGAAGCAACCCCAUGUGGAUACUCCUGCUGUGUAGAUGGGAAAACUAGAGGCUGUGCUUGCUGAAGACCGCUGUGCUUGCUGAAGACCGAGGUGCUCUAACAAUGACAAUGGCACACAAGAUGAGGUGUGGAGAUGUGGGGAGGAGACAGCACAGGCUCCAAGUCCACAUGGCUGAGUGACGCUGGGUCAUCCAGCUGGAUCAA